CUCAUCCGUGACCUUUAUUUUUUAUUAUUAUUUUCAAUUAAGCUGUUCUUAAACUAAACUAUUGUAAAAUUUGAGCGAUUUCUGUAAUUAAGUUCUCUUAUUUCGGUAUUACCUCUAUUUCUGCUAUUAGUUCAACAGAAAAAAGGUACCUUUACAAAAAUGUAUGCUUCUUUCGAAGGCAGGUUGUGAACGGUGACCCCAUUUUUUUUUAUUAAGUAUAAGAUUUAAGUACGUUUAUCAUUUUUACAGAAACAAUUUUUCCUUGUAGAUGUUGCAGAUACAUUCAUACAAAUGAUGUUGAAGAAACAAAGAGAAAAGGAACUUGGACUGUACCAGUUUGUUUGCAGCUUCUAAGGUGAAGUAUACUUAUUUAAAUGUUUUGUAAAAAUAAGAAGAUGUGGUAUGAUUGUAAAUGAAACAACUCUCCAUGAGAGACCAGUGAGACAAAAAUUAAACUUUGUUUGAUUUUAACAAAAGUUGAAUUCUUGGACUUCUUUGAUGCUGAAUCUAAACAUGUACUUAGAUUUUUGAUUAUGGACUGUUGGUCCAAAUCGGGGUUCAAAUUAAACUUUGUUUGAUUUCAACAAAAAUGGGGUUCUUUAAUAUGCUGAAUCUAACCGUGUAUUUAGAUUUUUAAUAUUUGGGCCCGGUUAUCAAAUUGAUCCACAUUGACAUGCUUGAGGUCUAAAGGGUCUAAAAUUGCACAUUAUUUGAUUUCAUCAAAAAUUGAAUUCUUGGGGUUCUAUGAUCAUGAUGAUAUGCUGAAUCUAACCAUGUAUUUAUAUUUUGGAUAUUUGACCAUAAUAGGCAAAUGUCCAAUUUAAAAUUUAUAAGUUUUUUUCUCGCCUUGACGGAGUAAAAAAAUGAGACAUAGGUAUGGUGUUCCCCGCGGCGGCAGCAUCAACAAUGUAUUAGUUUGUGAUUAGGUCAAUUUAUGGUGAACCACUAGUGGUAGGUCAAUGAUAUUUGGUAUGCAGUUGUAUAAGCAUUGGCAUAUCUCAUUUUCAUGGAGAUUUUUUUACUCCGCCUCCUUAGUCAUGGUCUAUAGACUUUGAUAAUUUUGCUAAGUUAAUAUGUAUUAGUUUGUGAUAAGGUCAGUUCAAGGGGAACCAUUAGUGGUAGGCCAAUGUUAAUUGGUGUUCAGUUUUAUAAACAUUAGCACAUCUCAUUUCCAUGGAGAAUAUUUGGCCCUGCCCCCUCAGUCAUGGUCUAUUGACUUUGAAACUUUUGCUUAGUUUACAUGUAUUAGUUUGUGAUAAUAUCAGUUUAAGAUGAACUGCUAAUGUUAAGUCAAUGAUAUUUGGUAUGCAAAUUUAUUGUCAUUUGAAAGUGUUGUUUUCAUGGAGAUUAUAUAGCCCCACCCCUGAUCAUGGUUCAUUGACUUUGAAACUUUUACAUAGUUUAAAAGUUAAUGUUUGUGUUUAGGUUCGUUUAAAGGGAACUACUUAUUAUGAGUCAAUGGUAAUUGGUAUGCAGUUGUAUUAUAUUUAUCAUUGGCACAUCUCAUUCCAUGGAGAUUGUUUAGCCAUGUACCUUCAGUCAUUGUUCAUAGACUUUGAAUAUUUGCAUAACUUACAUGUUAAAAUAUUGCUAUUUAAUUUCAACAUUGCAUUAUCAAAAUUACAUGAAUAUUUGCAUAACUUACAUGUUAAAAUAUUGCUAUUUAAUUUCAACAUUGCAUAAUCAAAAUUACAUGAAUAUUUGCAUAACUUACAUGUUAAAAUAUUGCUAUUUAAUUUCAACAUUGCAUAAUCAAAAUUACAAAAAGGGGAUAUCGAUACAUAUCUCUGUGAUAACAGUUUAUUAAGUGUAAGUUCUUAGACCACAUUCAUUCUGUGUCAGAAACCUAUCUUGUGUCAACUAUUUAAUCACAAUCCAAAUUCAGAGCUGUAUCAAGCUUAAAUGUUGUGUCCAUACUUGCCCCAACUGUUCAGGGUUCGACCUCUGUGGUCCUAUAAAGCUGUGCCCUGCGGAGCAUCUGGUUUGUAAAGUGAAAUUCUCUCUUAUUAUAAGUAAUAGGAUAACUAUAUUUGGUAUGUGAGUACCUUGCAAGGUCCUCAUGGCUGUCAUACAGUUUUCACUUGACCUCGACCUCCUUUCAUGGAUCAGUGAACAGUUUUGGUGAUCAUGGAUGGCUUUCAUAGUCAUGGAUACAUUUUAAGUUUUGGUUAAAGUCAUGUUAAUUGUUUUGUGUAAACAAAAUUGUCGUCAAGUGACCAUCAAGUCCAUAUCAGAUACUAAAAGCAAUAUGUCUAGUAUAUUUGGUGUAUGGAGGACUGUAAGGUGUACAUGUCCAACUGGCAGGUGUCAUCUGACCUUGACCUCAUUUCCAUGGUUCAGUGAUUAUAGUUGAGUUUUUGUGGUUUUUUUUUCUGUUUUUCAUAUACUAUUUGCAAUAGGUCUAAUAUAUUUGGUGUAUGGAAAUAAUAACAGAAUGAUUGUUAGGUGUACAUUUCUAGCUGGUAUGUGUCAUCUGCCCUUGACCUCAUUUUCAUGGUCAGUGGUCAAAGUUAAGUUUUUGAGUUUUUGUCUUUUUAUCUAAUAAUAUAUGCAAUAAGUCUACUGCUAUAAUAACUAUAUUAGGUGUAUGGAAAUAUAUUAGUUGUAUGGAAGAAUUAUUAGCUGUAUAGAUGUGUGCCUUGUAUGGUUCAUCUCACCUUGCCUGUCCUUGGCCUCAUUUUCAUGGUUUAGUGGUCAAUUUUUAGUUUUUUUAGGUUAAUGUUAAGGUUAUGUUUCAAUUGUAAUAAAGCUUUAUUUUAAGGACUACAAAAGAAGGCGAGACAUUUCAGCGUGUGCACUCUUUGUUUUAUAUUAAACCCUAGAAAGAAGCUACAGAUUAAUGUUAACUGCAAAAAUACUAAAAUCCUUUAUUAAUUAGAUCAUGUAGAUACAGGAAAUGAAAAUAUUUUGAAAUUUUUUAUCAUAAAAAUGGUAAUGCUUAUAUAUUCAAGUUUCACUAAAUUCCAAGAAGGGUUUCCACAAAUAACAAUGACUGAUUUUCAAAAUGAUCAUCAUGUAAAAAUGAAGAGAUGUGCUAAGAUUGCCCAUGAAAACUAUCUUUAUGAACAAUGACAGUUCAGUGGUUUGCUUUCAGCCUUUAGCAAAAAUAAUUACCAUAUAUAUUGUAAUAAGCUAUAAAUAAAAGCCCCCCAUUGUAAAAUGUUAAACAAUUAAAAAGUAAAAAACAGCGUCCUGAUCUUUAUAAGUUCGAAGAAUAAAAUUGAGUCAUAUUAUGGUAUGAUGUUGUUGUUAGCGAUGUAUGUCGACACAUAUGGUUUCCGGAUAAUUAUAUAGUUUAAGCGAAUGGAUAUCCAUGAAAUUUUACACAAGGUUUAAUACCAAAAAGGAAGGUUGGGUUGAUUUUUGGGGUGAUGGUACCAACAGUUUAGAAAUUAGGGGCAAAAAAGAAGCAUUUUUGUAGUUUCCAGACAUUAACUUGUGUGCCAGAGUGUACUAAUCUCUCUGAAAUUGUUCUUCAAGGUUCCAUAUCACAAAGGGUAGACUGGAAUUGUUUAAAGGGGUAAUUGCCUCAAACGUUCAGGAAAUAGGGGGUCAAAAAACAAGCAUUUUUUCUAAUUUCCAGACAAUAUUUUGUGUUUAAGUGUAUGGAUUUCUUUAAAAUUGUACUGCAAAGUACCAUACCACAAAGGAAAAGGCUGGGAUUAAGUUUUGGGGUAAUUACUGAAAGGGGGUUGAAAAAAAUUGGGGGAGGGGGAUUUUUUUUCUCAUAAUUUUGAUCAAAAUCCAAAUACAGACAGUCUAUCAAGCUUGAAUAUUGUGUCCAAACAUGCACCAACUGGUCAGUCAAAUAACAAGGCUGCGCUGCACAUCAUUUUCUUAAUCAUAUUAAUCUGACAUGUUAAAGUUUGUACAUUAUGAAGUUACUAACCUGUUGAUUUUGUGUAUUUCAGAUUAUUAUUGAAAAAAGAGCACUUUGAAGUACUAGGAGAAUUUGAAAACAUCUUGGUGAAAUAGUCUGACUGAUUAUGACAGAACAUCAAAAGAAAUGACGAAAAAUUACACAUCUUAUCAAAAUAGUACUACUAGAAACUAAAAGCUACUUGCAAUUUUCACUGGUUUUGAGAUCAGUAACAGUCUGACAAGGAAAGAAUUUAAUGAACAUGAUUAUGAUGCCUC
rnacentral:lncRNA from 1 species